UACAGAGGGGGCAAGCGUUGUUCGGAAUUACUGGGCGUAAAGGGCGCGUAGGUGGCCUUCUAAGUUGAACGUGAAAUCCCUGGGCUCAACCCAGGAACUGCGUCCAAGACUGGGAGGCUUGAAUCCGGGAGAGGGAUGCGGAAUUCCAGGUGUAGCGGUGAAAUGCGUAGAUAUCUGGAGGAACACCGGUGGCGAAGGCGGCAUCCUGGACCGGUAUCGACACUGAGGCGCGAAAGCGUGGGGAGCAAACAGG
rnacentral:rRNA from 1 species